ACUUGGUCAAUUUCGUCAGGACCGUCUCUCCUUUUUCUCUCCUUCUCUCGACUCUUCCUGAAACCCAGAGAAAACGACGUCGACCUCCGACGCCGUCCUCGCCAUCCGGACACCAAUCAAGCGUUCUUGACUUCGCCGAGGUCCCUCUGGCCUCAGUUUUUCCGAUCGGCGGCUAUGGGAAGAGAAACGGAGGCGGGAAACUUCUGCUCCUCCGUCGAUUUCGGUGUUUUCUGGCGACUUCUCCUGGUAUGGUUUUCUUCCUCUCGUUGUCCUCUACCAUUCUAGGGUAUUCAAAUUUUAGUUUAGCUUGGAGUUUAACGAAUUUGGUUUUUGGGAUUUUUGGAUGUUUCCUGCCCUUGACGGAAUUCGUCACUGCCGGCGUUCUCUCUUUCUCCCGACGACCUGAGUCAACUCCAGAGAUGUUGGACCAUGGUUGGAAUCGACUUCAUGGAUGCUGAGCUGAGUUAGGCAGAUAGCGUCGAUUUGGGUUUUCCGGCGAAGGACCUCUGUUUGUGUUUGGUUAACGACUCAUCGAUUCAAGAAUAUGGUGGUUCGAGAUGAAAGAAGACAGGAGCCAGCGAUUCUAGCUUCCAAUAUUCUUUGUCAAUGGAGUUAGUUUUUCUGGAUUUCGUUUGAUACUAAGAGGUUCAACUGAUUUGGUGACGUGAGGAUAAGUAGGGCAGAAGAAGGAUUGGUCUAACUAGCUGUGAUGUUCCUAAUUGGAAGUAGACCAAUACGAAGGGAUCCUGCCUUGAACUGUCUUACACUACAAGAAUUCGGGGCAUUUACCACGCAAAAUUUACGGCGUGCUUUUAAUGCGUAUCGUAAAAAAUCUCUGACAUGUAUUCUUCUACUGUGUGCUUUUAAUGCGUGCCCUAAAUGACCAAUCGCAUUAAGUUUUUCACUGCGCGCAUGUAUAGCGUGUC